CCGCAGAGGCUGAUGGGGGACUGACGCCUGUGAGGCUUCCAGUGUCGGCACCAUGGCGACGCGCGGUGGGACUGAGGUGGCAAUGGCGGCUUGGUCCCUCUUAUCUGCCCGGGCCGUGACCGUGUUCCUCCUGUUGUCCCUCCCUCGCUUCUUACAGGCCCAGACCUUCUCUUUCCCUUUCCAGCAGCCGGAGAAGUGCGACAACAACCAGUACUUUGAUAUCUCCGCGCUCUCCUGUGUUCCGUGUGGCGUUAACCAGAGGCAGGAUGCCCGCGGAACUUCAUGUGUAUGUCUACCAGGAUUUCAGAUGAUCUCUAAUAAUGGAGGACCUGCUGUUAUUUGUAAAAAGUGCCCAGAAAACAUGAAAGGUGUUACAGAAGAUGGCUGGAACUGCAUUUCUUGCCCUAGUGGCUUAACUGCCGAAGGAAAAUGCCACUGUCCCGCUGGCCAUAUUUUAGUGGAAAGAGAUAUUAAUGGAACAUUGUUGUCUCAAGCAACUUGUGAGCUCUGUGAUGGAAAUGAAAACUCUUUUAUGGUAGCAAAUGCUUUAGGAGACAGGUGCAUCCGAUGUGAGCCAACAUUUGUUAAUACCAGCAAGUCCUGUGCAUGUUCAGAACCUAACAUUUUAACAGGGGGAUUAUGUUUCAGCAACACAGGGAAUUUUCCUCUACGUAGAAUUUCAACUGCACGUUAUGGAGAAGUUGGCGUGUCUUUAACUUCAGAGUGGUUUGCAAAGUAUUUGCAAUCAUCAGCAGCUGCAUGUUGGGUAUAUGCCAAUCUAACAUCUUGUCAAGCUCUUGGAAAUAUAUGUGUGAUGAACAUGAAUUCUUACGACUUUGCCACAUUUGAUGCAUGUCGACUAUUUCAGUUUAUCUUUGAAAAUACUGCUGGACUGAGCACUGUUCAUUCUAUUUCAUUUUGGAGACAGAAUCUUCCUUGGCUGUUUUAUGGAGACCAGUUAGGAUUAGCACCUCAAGUGCUCAGUUCUACCUCUCUUCCUACAAAUUUCAGUUUUAAAGGAGAAAACCAGAAUACAAAACUGAAGUUUGUUGCUGCUUCCUAUGAUAUAAGAGGAAAUUUUCUCAAGUGGCAAACUUUAGAAGGAGGUGUUUUACAGCUUUGUCCAGACACAGAAACAAGGCUAAAUGCUGCUUAUUCAUUUGGAACAACCUACCAACAAAAUUGUGAGAUUCCUAUCUCUAAGAUCUUAAUUGACUUUCCCACUCCUAUAUUUUAUGAUGUGUACCUUGAAUAUGCUGAUGAAAAUCAACAUCAAUAUAUUUUGGCUGUGCCUGUGUUAAACCUAAAUCUUCAACACAAUAAGAUAUUUGUGAACCAAGACAGCAACUCUGGCAAGUGGCUUCUAACUCGGCGCAUUUUCUUAGUGGAUGCAGUAAGUGGACGAGAAAAUGACUUAGGAAGUCAGCCAAGAGUAAUUCGAGUUGCUACCCAAAUAUCACUGAGCGUCCACCUUGUACCCAACACAAUAAAUGGAAACAUCUACCCUCCCUUAAUCACCAUUGCCUACAGUGACAUUGAUAUCAAAGACGCCAAUAGCCAGUCUGUGAAGGUUUCUUUCUCAGUCACAUACGAAAUGGAUCAUGGAGAAGCACAUGUCCAGACAGAUAUUGCUUUGGGUGUAUUGGGUGGGCUAGCUGUUUUAGCAUCUCUUUUGAAGACAGCAGGAUGGAAGAGGCGCAUUGGGAGUCCCAUGAUUGACUUACAGACAGUUAUGAAAUUCUUGGUGUACUAUGCUGGUGAUCUGGCCAAUGUUUUCUUUAUCAUCACAGUGGGAACAGGUCUUUACUGGCUUAUUUUCUUCAAAGCACAGAAGUCUGUCUCUGUUUUGCUACCAAUGCCAGUUCAGGAAGAACGUUUUGUCACUUAUGUUGGAUGUGCCUUUGCUCUGAAGGCACUACAAUUUUUGCAUAAGCUCAUAUCCCAGAUUACAAUAGAUGUAUUCUUUAUUGAUUGGGAGCGACCUAAAGGAAAGGUUCUUAAAGCUGUUGAAGGUGAGGGUGGUGUACGAAGUGCCACUGUUCCUGUAAGCAUAUGGAGAACAUAUUUUGUAGCAAAUGAAUGGAAUGAAAUUCAGACUGUGAGAAAAAUUAAUUCACUAUUUCAAGUACUUACUGUCCUCUUCUUUUUGGAGGUUGUGGGAUUCAAGAACUUGGCAUUAAUGGACUCAUCUUCUAGUCUUUCUAGAAGUCCAUCUAGCUAUGUAGCUCCUUAUAGCCGCAUUUUGAGAUAUGCAGUGUCUGCUGCUCUUUGGCUAGCCAUUGGAAUUAUACAGAUCGUGUUCUUUGCUGUCUUUUAUGAGAGAUUUAUAGAAGAUAAAAUUCGACAGUUCGUUGAUUUAUGCUCUAUGAGUAAUAUAUCAGUGUUUCUAUUAUCCCACAAAUGUUUUGGAUAUUACAUUCAUGGUAGAUCAGUACAUGGGCAUGCAGAUACUAAUAUGGAAGAAAUGAAUAUGAACCUUAAAAGAGAAGCGGAAAAUUUGUGUAGCCAGCGAGGUUUGGUACCCAACACAGAUGGUCAGACUUUUGAGAUUGCAGUUUCUAACCAGAUGAGACAACAUUAUGACAGAAUUCAUGAGACACUAAUAAGGAAAAAUGGUCCUGCUAGACUAUUGAGUUCAUCAGAAAAUACUUUUGAGCAGAGUAUAAAGGCAUAUCAUAUGAUGAAUAAAUUUCUUGGCUCCUUCAUUGACCAUAUUCAUAAGGAAAUGGAUUACUUUAUAAAAGAUAAGUUGCUUCUUGAAAGAAUUCUUGGAAUGGAAUUCAUGGAACCAAUGGAAAAAAGCAUCUUUUACAAUGACUAUAGAAGACAAACAUGUGAAUAAAGAGGGUGGUACUGGCAUAGAAGUCUGUACAGGCACAGGUUGUGCCGGGGACAGAAGGGAGCAUAGAAAAUCUAACCAGAUAUGAGGUAAAGCCAGAAGAGGCAACAUGGAGAAGUUUGAACUGAGUUUUAAAAACUCAGUAGCUGUUUGUCAACCGAGAGGAUUAAGAUGAAGGUUAUUCUUUCAGCAGUGUCCUGUAUUAUGGAAAUGAAGCUACCCUUCUUAUUUUUGAUCUGCUGUUCUUCUGUGUUGUGGAUUUGGCUUGCCAAAAUUUUAUUUUAGCAUCCUUCCUUACAUAUCUACAACAAGAGAUUUUUAGAUAUAUCCGUAAUACAGUAGGACAAAAGAAUUUGGUGUCCAAAACAUUGGUGGAUCAAAGAUUUUUGAUUUAACUUCCUGAAUAAAUAAAGACUCAGUAUAAUCAUGGCCAAAAAAAUGUCAUGAUAUCAGGUUAGUUUGCCAUAUUUUAAAAACUUUUAAUGCAAACUAUUCUGUUUUUGUUUUUUAUUUGCAGAAAGAUUUAUUUUUAUAACUUGGAAUAUAUAAUGUGAUAAAACAGAAAAUACUGUUUUCCCAUUGUGUGUGGUAUUUAAUGCAGUAAAUAAUAAAUUAACACUGACAGUGAGGCCAAAAAAAAUCUAAAUGUUGCUUUCAGCAUAAUACUUUUUAAUGAUAAUUAAAACAGUCCCCAUCAAUUUUCUCUGUGGAUUAUUUUAUAAACUGACAGCUGCCUGAAUUUUCUCACAUUGACAAAGUAAUUUGAUUCCAAGUUUAAGACUAGUUUUCAGUUUGAUAUUUUCAUGUUUUGUGUGCUUGUGGUUAAAUAAAUGUUGAAAGAUAUUUUCAAGUUUACUUAGAAAUUUUAAAUUGUAUUAUUGCUGAUUCAAUUUGCCUUAUUCUAAUUGCUUACCCUAGUUAGCAGUGGAUUAAUUCAUUGUUGGAUUGAUAUGCAUCUCAUGAAAUGAUAUCUUUUCAUUCCUUUGUAUACCUGUAUUAGGUCAGUAUGCUCUUUCCAUGCAAUAUAUUUGCAUUUCUAAUAUAGUUUACAUUUAUUAAGUUAUUAUAUGUGACAUUUUUCCCAAUAUCAUUUUUUAUAUAUUUUAAUUACUUAAUAUUUUAAGAGUUAUCUUCCAAAGUUUUGCUUUUCAAUUAUGUUUAAAGAUUGUAAAUAGCAAACAGUAAGGCUGGGUGCUGUGGCUCACGCCUGUAAUCCCAACACUUUGGAAGGCCAAGGCGGGUGGAUCACUUCAAGUCAGGAGUUCAAGACCAGCCUGGCCAACAUGGCAAAACCCCAUAUCUACAAAAAAUACAAAAAUUAGUUGGAUGUGGUGGCCUGUAAUCCCAGCUACUUGGGAGGCUGAGGAACAAGAAUUGCUUGAAACCAGGAGGUGGAGGCUGCAGUGAGCCAGAUAGCACCACUGCACUACAGCCUGGAUGACAGAACAAGACCCUGUCUCAGAAAAAAACAAAAACAAAAAACUGUAAAUGUAUCAUGUUUCUCACUGCUUUCUAUGUUAAUGCUGUGUAAAUACUUAAAAUGGAAUACUGUAUAAAUAUUGUUUAUAUUUUCUCAGUUGAAAAUAUAUACUAAAACAUUUGGUGUUUCUGUUUUCUAUUUCAUUAAUGUAUAUCUCACGGAGUAGCAUUUAGGAAUAUAGCAUUAUUGGGGCAGAGGUCCCAGCCAUUGCCAAAGUUGAAUCUUUUACAUUUCCCUGAAUCUUGAAAAUGACUGAAAAGGAAGUCUUUGAAAGUGCAGUUUCUGAAGGAUCACAGUACAGGAAUGCCUUUAUAAAAGCUACAGAGAUAAAUACAUGUACCGGCAUGGAUUUUUAAAACCACUCAGUCAGAAGCAUAUGAAAGAAAUUCAACCAUCAUUCAACAUAGAAGAAGUUAAUUUUAGUGCAAAUGUUUCUAAGUAUUAAAUUUCACAAUAAAGGAUCAAUUGGCUUACUUGCUGAUAAAUUAAAACAGAGAAAACAUUUAAAAUCAUUCUAAAUUAAUUUUGUAUGAUAUUUUUAUUUUGGUUAGAUGCAUAAAAAUGUGUUCAGAUUUUCA